AGCAGUGUUGGUGGUCUCUUCCGCUCUGCAGCCUCAGGAGUGCCCACCUGACCAGGCGGUUGGGUCUCUCUCUCACCGGGUCUGGGAGCAGAGAGCUGCUGCGGGCCGGGAUCCUUGGGUGUGGGACUUCCGGUAAACACAGAACGUGCCCGGUCCUAGAGAAAUUCUGCUUCCGUGUGUCCCAAGCUCACCAGGCAGCUUUCUUGCAGCAGAAAAUUUGGUCUUACCUGUGGUCCCGAGGCUCAGGUUCGCUCGUGGGGUGCUGCCCAGGGGCUCUCUGCAGCGGCAGCAACCAGGAACAUUAGAAUGUUUUUAUCUGUGGAAUUUACUCUUCACAAACCCUUGAAACUUUUUCCUGGGAAAACUGUAUGUUUAAGAUACACAUUUAAGGUUGGGGAUUUAGCUCUGUGGUAGAGCGCUUGCCUAGCAAGCGCAAGGCCCUGGGUUCGGUCCCCAGUUC
rnacentral:lncRNA from 1 species